AUACAUAUAGUUUAAGGAAAAUAUUGAAUUGUGGUUUCAAAGAUGUAAAAAAUUACUUUGUAUA
rnacentral:tRNA from 1 species